UCUUUUUAAAAAUCGAUUACUGGUAAGUAACAUUAAAACUGAUAGCUAAAAUUUAAAUUUUCGUUUUAUUUUAUAAAUAAAAUUAGUCCAUAAUUUUUGAUACAAUAUUUUUUAACUCAAAAAUCAUCAGAAGAAAAGAAUUAAAAAUUUUCCUAUAGUACAAACAAUAAAUUAGAUCCAAUUUUCUAUUUGAAACCACCUUCAAGCUGAAAAUCGAAGACGUCAUUAAGUUAAAGUUAUAUGUAAAAAUGUGUCCUGUAUUAGUCAAUUUUGAAAAUCUGCAGAGGACCUUAAUAUAACCAUAUGUCAAUAUUUGCACUGUUAUACACUCUUAAAUUUAGAAAAUGUUCUCCUCGUGGAUUUUUGGACAAUCUCCACACAUUCUCAUCAAAUACUGUUAUGGCAUCAGCCCAUUUUGUUGAUUUAAAUAAGAAUACUCAAUAUAAUAAUUUGCCGUUACCGUUUUUUUACUACUACAUUACCAAAAAUCU